GGAGGUAAAGAGGACAUUCAGAGAGACACAGAGACAGGAGGUAAAGAGGAGAGACAGAGAGACACAGAGACAGGAGGUAAAGAGGAGAGACAGAGAGACACAGAGACAGGAGGUAAAGAGGAGAGACAGAGAGACACAGAGACAGGAGGUAAAGAGGAGAGACAGAGAGACACAGAGACAGGAGGUAAAGAGGAGAGACAGAGAGACACAGAGACAGGAGGUAAAGAGGAGAGACAGAGAGACACAGAGACAGGAGGUAAAGACAGUGACAGUGAGUCAGGAUGAAACAGUGACAAACAGGAACAUAAAUUACAGUAUAUGUAUGUUUUCACCAGUGUUUAACAGUAAAUCGCUGUUUCUUUAGGUUCUUCUUUGUCUCAAUACUGUGACUACAACAUGAAAGUUUGUGUACCAUAAAUAAUCAAUAAAAAGGCAAAAAUACACACACAC